rnacentral:misc_RNA from 1 species
AAGUCGUAACAAGGUUUCCGUAGGUGAACCUGCGGAAGGAUCAUUAGUGAAUUGCUCUUUGAGCGUUAACUAUAUCCAUCUACACCUGUGAACUGUUGAUUGAUUUCGGUCAAUUACUUUACAAACAUUGUGUAAUGAACGUCAUGUUAUUAUAACAAAAAUAACUUUCAACAACGGAUCUCUUGGCUCUC